rnacentral:lncRNA from 1 species
GAAUCCGGACUCAUAAUUUCGAAAACAUGCGCCGAAAAUCCUAGAUCUACAAAUGAAGGUGUGAAAGUUUUUACCUCUUUUUCCGGUGCGGUUCCGUUUCCUACUUGCUCCGGUUCGGUUCUUUCUUGCCUUGCUCCGGUUCGGUUCUGCUCUCUUUUCCGGUUCGCCUCUUCCUCUUUUUUUCGGUUCGGUUCUUUCUUGGUUUGGGAUGAUGAUGAUUUGUGGUUGUAUGGGCUGAUUUGAGGUUUUGUUUAAGUUUUGUGUUGCUGGAUUUUGAUGAAUCUAUGAAUGUUCUUCAUGAGUUCAUGUUAUUUCUUUGUAAUUUUAGUGUUUGAUCUGAAAACUGGUUGGAAAAAUGGAAAAAUAGGGUUUGUGAAUUGAUGCUGAUUUUUUUCUGACGUGAACAGUGAUUUUUCGGCCCAUUUCCCAAUGAUUGGACAGUGUAUUUAUAGUGACAAACUAGGGUUGGCUCUGGUACAGAUC